ensembl:antisense Hnf4aos hepatic nuclear factor 4 alpha, opposite strand
GUCCAGGCAGCCACCUGGCCUGAGACUGGCCUGGCUUUGCCGUUUCCUUUGGCAGCUCCCAAGACCUGAGGGUAGGAGUCCUGGGCAGCUGGGACCUGCCAGGCCAUUCUGUAUCUCCCAUGGGGCUCACGACCCAGGGACCCCCGUUCCUAUCUGAGAGGACCACUUCUUCCUGAAGCUGGAACCCGAUACUUGUUGGUGCCAACAACUGAAACCAGAUGUGCAGACACAUGUUUUCACGUGGAGCACGUGUGUCCAUUUGGAGGCCAGAAGUCAACCUCAGGUCUCAGGAGGGAGAGCUGCUUAGCCUCAACCUGGCGCAUGGGCACAGGCCACCACGCAGACAAGAAAUGAAGGCACUGAAGGAAGCUAAAGAUGCCCCCAUUGUUGCUGUCUGCUGCUGCCUGCUGCUGCCUGCUGCUGCCUGCUGCUGCCUGCUGCAUUGGUAACCCUCCCCAGCAUCCCUGGAGAGACACCAUCCCAGUGUUCUAUACAACAGGCAAUAAGUAAACACCUGUUGGGGCUAGUGCCAUCGAUAUUGCCCGUGCUCAAUUAAAUAUGUCAUUUGUUUGGGAACUGGGGGGCCUUCUGUGUGGCAGUUUCAACGUUAAUAAACGAAUGAGUAAGUCAGCAAA